GACGAACGCUGGCGGCGUGCUUAACACAUGCAAGUCGAACGGUGAACUCCGCUUGCGGGGGGAUCAGUGGCGAACGGGUGAGUAACACGUGGGCAACCUGCCCUCAGCUCUGGGAUAACUCCAAGAAAUUGGGGCUAAUACCGGAUAUGACCGCUGACCGCAUGGUCCGGUGGUGGAAAGAUUUAUCGGCUGGGGAUGGGCCCGCGGCCUAUCAGCUUGUUGGUGGGGUAGUGGCCUACCAAGGCGACGACGGGUAGCCGGCCUGAGAGGGUGACCGGCCACACUGGGACUGAGACACGGCCCAGACUCCUACGGGAGGCAGCAGUGGGGAAUAUUGCGCAAUGGGCGAAAGCCUGACGCAGCGACGCCGCGUGGGGGAUGACGGCCUUCGGGUUGUAAACCUCUUUCAGCAGGGACGAAGCGAAAGUGACGGUACCUGCAGAAGAAGCACCGGCCAACUACGUG
rnacentral:rRNA from 1 species